rnacentral:rRNA from 1 species
AUAUUCCUGUACUAGUGUAUAUAGUGAUGGAGGGACGCAGUAGGCUAACUAAAGCGGGCGAAUGGAAGAGCCCGUCUAAGCAGUGAGGUGUGAUAUGAGUCAAAUGCUUGUAUCUGUAACAUUGAGCUGUGAUGGGGAGCGAAAUUAAGUAGCGAAGUUAGUGACGUCACACUGCCAAGAAAAGCUUCUAGCGAUAAGUAUACACUACCCGUACCGCAAACCGACACAGGUAGUCGAGGCGAGUAGCCUCAGGUGAGCGAGAGAACUCUCGUUAAGGAACUCGGCAAAAUGACCCCGUAACUUCGGGAGAAGGGGUGCUGACUUUUAGUCAGCCGCAGUUGAAUAGGCCCCAAGCAACUGUUUAUCAAAAACACAGCUCUCUGCUAAAUCGUAAGAUGAUGUAUAGGG